AAAUUAAGAUUUGGGAUUAGGGUUUAUACGUGAAUGAAGGUUCAGAAUCUUCACCUCCCUUCUUACGAGCGGCGACGGCGGCGGUGCGAAUGGCUUCCUCUUCUCCGAUCCUCACUCCUCACGACAGCGGCGCCCUCAAUAAACUCCCUUCUCCGGUCUAGUUUUCUCAAAAUCUCUCCGAUUCACUUCUCUUGCGGCUCAAUAUUUCGCUCUCGAGUCUCUGUUUUUCGUUUCGGAUUGCGUGGAUUGUGAUGUUAUCCUGUUGAUGAUGAAGAUUGAAAUUGCGGUUUGGCGGAGGUGAUUGAGACGCGUGAAGUGUUGAAGACGAACGAUGAUGAACGGAGUUGAUGUGGUUGUUGUUAUGAAGCGUGAAGAGAGGAAUGGCGACUCAAUCGUGAGACGAUGAUGAAUGUAGCGCUAUUGCGAAAUUCUCGAAGAUGCGGAAUCGCAAAAUCAUGUGAUUAUAGAGUGCUGCGAUUUGAUGACAUCCACGAUGAGAAAUUCAAGGACGAAUGAUGCGCGAUGAACCUUUCCACAAAUCAAUGAACACUGAGACUCGAUGAUUGAAGACUUUUCUGUGGAUAGAGAUGCAGAAUCGUGAUGAGUUUCUCGUGUGACUGUUUCUGUUAGGAUCUUUUCUUGGUUUUCAAGGAUGAAGAAUGGAGAGAGGGAAGAUCGAUGAUGAUUAUGAAGAGAUGGUGAAGUGAUGGAGGUUGAAUGAUGGUGGUGGUUAUGGAGCAUGAAGGAUUUCCGAGAUGGAGAAAAUGAAGAAUGAGCAUGGAGAUUAUGGUGUGUGAAGAAUGGCCUCCUCGAAAAUGAGGCUAAUGCAGAAUAUAUAGGUACAUGAUGCAGCAGGUAAGGAAUAGCAUGGCAUUUGAAGUGAAGAAGACAUAUGGUGCAUUAAAGAUAAAAAAUUGCUUGAAGAGUUUGAAGAGAUGCCUCCUUUUAAGAUAGACUUAGGAAUCAGCAGCAUUGAGUUCAAUGUGGGUUAUGUCUGUUUUAUUCAGGGCUGCCAGUUCAGGUGUUCUUGUGCAAGACCCGGUUUCUCUUGAUGUGCAUCAAGAUGUCUUUGGAUCAUGCAUUCAGAAGGAGGACACGUUGCAUUGGUUGUACUGCUUGACAUGAUGAUAGAUGAAGGCGAAGAAGCUUUAGAAACAAUAGGCUCAUGUGUAUUUUGUGUAGUGUUUCUUGAUGUUGUAAUUUUGGCAUAAGUUUGUGAUGUAAUGAAUGAAAUUUUUAGUAAUGAAUUUUUCGUGUAGGACUUUGUAUGAUGAGGUUGGAAUGAUAAAGGUUGUAUUUGUUUUUUUGUAUAAUUUCUUUGUGGUAACAGUACUGUAAUAAGUGGAUGGAUUUCAUAAUGGACACUUUGCAAUGAUACUGAAAUAGUGAUAUUGAUAAUUUGAACUUGAAAUAUCUUUAUGCUACUGCCAGCAUAUUAAUGUCUUCCACCUUGCUAGCUUUUGAAUUCAAAGGUAGAAACCCGAGUAUUCAAAACAAACUUUCUUCUCCAAAUUGCAUAUCUCUUUUUCUUGAUUUUGAAACAACAUUAGCGGCAUGAUGAUCAUGUAAUGAAACCCGAAGCCUUGACACUUUGACUUUGUAAGAAAUCUCUGUCCCUCGAUUAGUUAAUUCAAUCUCUUCCCACCUUUGCAAAUUAGAGUAGAACCAACCAAGUGGGAUGGUAACCAAAGAUAUAGAUCACAUUAGUAUAGUCAAAAUGUCAACCUUGUAUGGUUGCCUUUAACUAAAGUGAACAACUUUGCCAAUAAUCUCCACACGUCCUUUUUGUCAAUAUAUCAGUAACAUCUCCAAUUGAACCACUAGGCGUUCUCAACCAUACCGAGUCUACCAAGCG